ensembl:rRNA 5S_rRNA 5S ribosomal RNA
GCCCACAGUCAAACCACCCUGAACACACCUAAUGUCCUCUGAUCUCAGAAGCUGAGUGGGGUCAGGCCUGGUUAAUAGCUGGAUAGGAGACCACCGAGGAGUACUGGGUGUUGUAGGCU